AGAGUUUGAUCCUGGCUCAGAACGAACGCUGGCGGCAGGCUUAACACAUGCAAGUCGAACGCACCGCAAGGUGAGUGGCAGACGGGUGAGUAACGCGUGGGAACCUUCCUUUUGGUACGGGAUAACUUCGGGAAACCGAAGCUAAUACCGUAUAAGUCCUUCGGGAGAAAGAUUUAUCGCCAAAAGAUGGGCCCGCGUUGGAUUAGCUAGUUGGUAGGGUAAAGGCCUACCAAGGCAACGAUCCAUAGCUGGUCUGAGAGGAUGAUCAGCCACACUGGGACUGAGACACGGCCCAGACUCCUACGGGAGGCAGCAGUGGGGAAUAUUGGACAAUGGGCGCAAGCCUGAUCCAGCCAUGCCGCGUGAGUGAAGAAGGCCCUUAGGGUUGUAAAGCUCUUUUGGCGGGGACGAUAAUGACGGUACCCGCAGAAUAAGCCCCGGCUAACUUCGUGCCAGCAGCCGCGGUAAUACGAAGGGGGCUAGCGUUGUUCGGAAUCACUGGGCGUAAAGCCCACGCAGGCGGAUUGAUAAGUAGGGGGUGAAAAUCCCGGGGCCUCAACCUCGGAAAUUGCCCUUUUGAUACCUGUCUUAAUCCUUCCAAGUUUCCGGGGAAAAGGGU
rnacentral:rRNA from 1 species